CCCUUAGAUGUUCUGGGCCGCACGCGCGCUACACUGAUGCAUUCAACGAGUUUCUUCCUGGUCCGAGAGGAAUGGGUAACCUUUUGAAAGUGCAUCGUGAUAGGGAUAGACUAUUGCAAUUAUUGGUCUUCAACGAGGAAUUCCUAGUAGACGUAGUUCAUCAGACUGCAUCGAUUACGUCCCUGCCCUUUGUACACACCGCCCGUCGCUCCUACCGAUUGAAUGCUCAGGUGAGCCAUUCGGACUUUCAUCAUGCUGGUUUCCAGUUUUGAUGAAGGAAAGUCUUGCGAACCUCAUCAUUUAGAGGAAGGAGAAGUCGUAACA
rnacentral:rRNA from 1 species